UACGUAGGUGGCAAGCGUUGUCCAGAUUUACUGGGCGUAAAGAGCGCGCAGGCGGCUGUGCAAGUCGCGUGUGAAAGCCCCCGGCUCAACUGGGGAGGGUCACGCGAUACUGCUCGACUUGAAGGCAGGAGAGGGAAGUGGAAUUCCCGGUGUAGUGGUGAAAUGCGUAGAUAUCGGGAGGAACACCAGUGGCGAAGGCGACUUCCUGGCCUGUUCUUGACGCUGAGGCGCGAAAGCUAGGGUAGCAAACGGG
rnacentral:rRNA from 1 species